rnacentral:lncRNA from 1 species
CACAGCUGAUAACUGUGAGACUUUUCAGCCUUGCUUGAAAUCUGAUAAAAUUAAAAAAAUAAAAAUUUAAGGCACCACCACCAUAGUUCAGGUAGCAAUCGAGAGUGCUGUUUUCUUCCUGUUGUUACCUGUUGGCCAGCAAAAGUGGCCGUCACUCCCAUAAAUGUUUUCAGAGUUAAUAACAUGCCGAUCAGAUUUCCUUAUGCUCAGCUGCCCUGGGAAGCAAUGGGUCAAGGCUGGUACUGUGAAAGAGCAAGUGUAAGCUUGUUUCUGAACAGGAAUGUAAAUAGCAAGUAACCUGUCCAUUUCCCAGAUUGUGUUUUUGAUUUCCUGCACAGACUAGUUAUUUCAAGAGCACUUCAUUCCGUGCCUUCCAAUAAUGGUGAACAUGCUCAGGAAAACACGGUCAAAGCAAAUGUGGCAAAGUCUGCUUUGGAAAACAACGGUGAACUCCAUCAUGUGCUGAUGUUACUGCUUGGGAAGUGCUGCUCUCUUGAUUCUGACGAUAGAAACAGGGCCAGGGAAGCCCCCUUGACAGACAGCAGAUGACCCACUCCUAAGGACCAGGGGACAGUGUUGGGCAGGAAACACCCUCCCAUGGGAUUCUCUGAAAAGUGAAGAGAGAGCUACCUCCUAGAGGGUAAGGUGCUGGCUAAACGACUCCCUGUGCUCACUGAUGCCAUGAGUCAGGAGCAUGUAGACUGUCUUCUGUGGUGAAGGGUGGUUUUAGGAUCCGGAUCCAGAGCUGUUAUCUUUGAAGUCUGGGUUCUGUUCCUUGUUUUGUUGCAAGUACCUGACUUAGUUAUUUUGCGCAUUGGUUUCCGCGUUUGUAACCUGAAGAUAAAUACUAUCCCAUGCUUUAAAGAAAUUUACAAGUACUAAUGAAUUAAAUUGCUUAGCUGUCUGUAGGCUGAAUGUGAUCUAGAAGGAUAACGUUUUGUUCUACAAAAACUGAGAAAGUUUCUCUCACAGGAACAAGCUUCCCAUUCCCCAGUUAGAUGUAAAAAAUAUAAAAAAAGGAUGCUGUUUGCUAAAUACUAUUUCUCUAAAAGUUAUCAGCCAAGUGAGAUUUUGGAGGAAAAGGAUUUGAUCAACCUUUUAAAAAGUGUUUGAGACAGUGAUAUCUGUUGUUAGCUUUGGGAAAUUACCAUUUUCAUCUACAUUAAAUAAAUUUCCUAGCAUUGCCA